rnacentral:rRNA from 1 species
AAGUAUUAAAGGUCCCGCCUGCCCAGUGAAAUAUUUUAACGGCCGCGGUAUCCUAACCGUGCAAAGGUAGCGUAAUCACUUGUCUCCUAAAUAGAGACUCGUAUGAACGGCUAAAUGAGGACAAACCUGUCUCUUAUAACAAAUCAGUGAAACUGAUCUCUCAGUACAAAAGCUGGGAUAAAAACAUAAGACGAGAAGACCCCGUGGAGCUUUAAACAAACUACUUUACCUGAAUCCUAGUACACUGUUUUAAGUUGGGGCGACUUCGGAAUAAAGAAAAACUUCCGAGCACAGAAUCACCACUUCUAACCAAGGCAAACAGGCCCCGGAAUAAAAUGACCCGGCUCUUCUGCCGACCAACGAACCAAGUUACCCCGGGGAUAACAGCGCUAUCUUCUUCAAGAGUCCCUAUCAACAAGAAGGUUUACGACCUCGAUGUUGGAUCAGGACACCCAAAUGGUGCAGCCGCUAUUAAAGGUUCGUUUGUUCAACGAUUAACAGUCCUACGUGAUCUGAGUUCAGACCGGAG